UAUGGUCUGUUAGUCCUAGCAGCAGGGCGGGCCUGUCAUGCCUGGACUUGCCUGGACUUGCCUGGACUUGGUUUUUACAGUGUUUAGCUCUGAGGCUGUGAAUUUUGAAACUUAUUCCUUUUAUUUUAUAUUUUUAACCUUAAAUCUGUAUAAUUUUCCUUUCAAAACCUAAAUCAACUCAUUUGUUCAACUACAAAGCAAGCCUAGGUUAUGAGAAUUUUCUUCAAGUUUCCCCAGAACUAACCAUAAUUGUGAUGGGAGAAAGGGAAAUAUGAAAGCUUCCCAGAGUCAGUUCCUGCCCUCAACUGACAGGAAUGCCAAGAAACGUGAGAUUCCCAAUGAAUGAAAACUCCUGGAGUCACCAGUGGGGUUCCUUACCUGGCCCUUCUCCCACUCACUGUAGUUGGUGCGCUAAGUUUGGGGUUUAUAGGUAAACAAAUAGACUUUGAAAUCAACUGUGAAUGUUUACAUUGGUUUUGGACUUUGUGGAAUAAAGUGCCCCUCCCCCCCUUUUAAAAGUUCACUUGUUUUUAAAGAAAAAAAGGUUUAUUUUUAUGUAGAUGGGUGUUUUGCCUGUGAGUAUAUCUGUGUGGGUCCUAGAUUCCCUGGAGCUGGAGUUACAGAUAGUUAUGAGUUGCCAUGUGGGUGCUGGGAAUUGAACUUGUGUCCCCUGAAGAGGAGCCAGUGCUCUCACAUGCUGAGCCAACUCUCCUAUCCUGGAAUAAAGCCUUUUAUGGAUGAAAGGGCCAUGUGGAGAGCCUUGGGAAACAACUUCUCUGUCAAGAAGGUACAUGGAAAGCAGCACCAUACCUUUCGGGAGUCUCAUCUUGAAAGAUCCACGGGUGGUGAUUUCUUCUAUCCACAUGGGAAAUCUUCUUAGGGCCACUGCAUGCGUGUGUGUGUGUGUGUGUGUGUGUGUGUGUGUGUGUGUGUGUGUAGGUCAAGACAACCUUGGAUGCUGGUCCUCAGGCCUCUUUCACUUUUGUUUGAGAGAGAGUCUCUCUCAUUGGCCUGGGAUGUCCUCCUUUCUUCCUUGUUUGGUCACAGGGAGACUCCCCUGCUCCUUCUCUCUUCCCGAUUAGGCCAUGCCCCUACUGUAGCUCUCUCUGUACAGGGAGUUGAUGAGCAAGCCUGCUGUUGCUUCCUAGUGUCCCAUUCCAUCUUCUGCCCCAAAGCUGCAAGUGCAAUACCAUCCCCCGCACAAAAGACCACCUUGAAAUGCCUUGUGAUACACGGCAUGUAGGCUUGGACAUGUGGCGUGGAACUCCCCCAACCCUCAUACAGGUACAGGAUUCCCUUUGUUUAUCUAGAAAUGGAGUGUCUCCCUGCAGGAUCCCUGUCAUGCCAUCAGUGGUGAUGUCUCUCCUAACGCAGCUCCUAGUUAUAUCUACACACAAAAUAGUAGGAAAUACUACGAUGUUGUAGGCAAAAGACUGAAGAUCAGAGUUUAGGGACAUCUCUCUUGAAGGCACGUGAAUAGAGAGGAUGAGCUUUGCAUCCUUGAGCUCUUACAGGUAGCCAUGUCAUGUCCCUUUUGAAAUUAGGGGCAGACAGAUUGUGCUGAGCGUGUUCGAUCUAGAUUUUUAAGAUACUGGAUCCUGGGCAGUCAGGCAAAGCUGGGGUACACACACUUUGCUCAGAAAAGGGAAAGACACUUCAGAGGUAUUCUUUUUUGAUUUCUUCCCAAUCUAGCAGCAUCUCACCUGUUGUUAGAACCUUCAGGUUUUUUUUUUUUUUUCUGAAUGAAUCCAUGGAAAUCUUAGAUUAUGUGUCUCUCUCAUCCAACCACUAGUUCUUCUUGGUCUAGUAACUAGAGGUACUCGCUCAACUCCAAAGUCUAGAAGUCAGGGUUCCUGUGUCAGGCUCAGCUGGUAGCAACAGUCUAUUGUCAUGUGGUCAUGAGUGACUUAUCCAGGAUGGCCAUGUUCUUUCCCUCAGGUCAGGAAAGGGUAACAUUGGACCUUCAUGGCAUUUAUGUCUUAUGUCUUCUUCAUUCCUUACUCUAGUAGCCCUUGCCUUUCUUAGGGGAUGUAAAAGGCCAGGGAAUAUUCUAGUAAGCAUUUUAAUGAUCUAGCAAAGAUCCCUCAGAAAUCCUGAUGGUGGGAACAUUUCUUGGGAAGGAUUAUUGAGAAAUCAGGGAAUGUUCUAGCAGGCAUGCCUAUUUAGCCUGAGGGAACUAAAGGUUAGAGGUGACAGAAUAUCUUCCUCUGAGACCUGAAUACUUAUUUUUCUCUUCCUCAGAAAAAGUUAAGAAGCAUUUGCCAGCCCCAUGCUAAGCCUGCAUCUUCUGCACAGCUCAGGGCCAAUUUGCCAUGUAUGUCUCAGUAAUUGAGUGUGUAUGUCUGCUUCUCCCUUUCAUGUUGGUGUUCUGGGAUAUGCUGGGCCCUUUCCCUAUGAUUGUUUUUUUUCCGGAAGGCACAGUGUUAAGCUCUGUCAAUAGAGGAUAGUAGAAGGCCCUACAGGAGGACAGGGCUUCAGUAACUUCCCAGGAUGCUCCUGAUUUACUCCGAUUCCCAGCUCUUUGGGUUCUGGUCCAGCCCCAAUUAAAUGUUUCCCUUUAUAAGAGUUGCUGUGGUCCUGGUGUCUCUUCACAGCAAUGAAACCUUAAGACAGCAAAAAACAAAACACAACUCCACAACUUUUUUUUGUAUUGUUACUGUUUAUUGAAAACCCCAAAACUUUUAUCUUUCUUUUUUUAGUCCCAAACAGUUAGUUCUUUGAAUGCUUUAAUUCCAGCCUGGCUGAGUAAUAGGCUCCAAGCGAAUACAGAUUUUCUUAGCAGAAAAAAAAAAAAAUCAGAUAGGAAGCCAAAAUUUCCAAUCACACAAAAAAAUGCAUAUAUCAAAUGCUAAUAUAGAUAAAUAUGCUUACUACAUCUCAUAUUUAUAAAUAAAUUUAGUGUGCAGACCUAAAAAGGUCAGUAAAAAAACAACAACUUAAGUUCAAAGAGUCAAAAAGUAAAAUCUGGUUAUUGAAUCCAGAUACUUCUAGAGAGCAGUCACACCACAGAGAUGGGUACGACAUCUCAGACACGUAGCUGCAGAACUGUAGAAUUACAGUUUUUCUUUCUCAUGCCAAUCACAGAGAACUCUCUAAACUGUCCAGCUUCCCUGUGCCCUGGACAACUUGGAUUGGGAAAAACAACACAAAGCACAAAUCACCCAAACUUUCUCUUCAGAUAGUUUAAAUAGAACCCCAAACUGUUCAAUAGAGAAUCCCCAAAUUGACUCACAGGAAUUCUCAAAUUGGCUCAUGAGAACACACAUAUGCAUGCAUGCAUGCACACACACACACACACACAAACACGCACACGCACACAGAGUGGAGAGGGAGCUGGCAUUCUCCACCACUGAGAAGACAGCUGGGAAAUAGACAGACUCAGGCUUAUAGUUUCCAAAACACUCACCCGCCUUCUCAUCACAAACUGCAAAAGGCCAUCUGUGUUGGCUCAAAGAGAAAAAAGGAAAGUCCCCAGACAAAAUUAGAUUUCAAAACCACAGGGAUGACCUCCACUCUCUCCUUUUGUUUAUGGAUGGUGAUAACCCUGUAAUUGUGGCGCACAGUGGUGUUCCUUAAAACCUGGCAAAGUCUGUUACCAAAGUUACCUGGUCCUGGGAGCAGUCAUUCUACUACACAAAGAGAAAUCAGUGUAGACCAUAUAAAACAGAGAAAUGGGGAGCAAGCCAUGCUUAGCCUGCCUCUGCCUUCUUUACAGCAGUGUGUAAGGGGUGAAGGGAUGGCAGGAAGUCAAGAACUUUGUAGAUCCAGCUGUGGUUCCCACCGGGCCAUGAAGGUCUUGUUCUGGAAGGGAGUCCUGUUGCCAGUUGUCCUUUAUACUCUACAGUCUUUCCUAUUUCAGAUCGCUUUGUAGUUUGUGAUGGACAUGUCCUGCACUAGUCAACAGGAUGCUACAAAGAAGAUUCUACUGUAUUUCCUCAUAAUUUGGUUGUGAGCCAAGCUUUAAAUGGUUGAGCCAUCUCUUCAUCCCUGCUAUAUUUUCUUUAUGUCAGAUCAAUGCCUCUUUUUACAAUUUUAAAAAUUUAACUAAUUUUUAAAAAAUAAAUUAUUUUAUGUGUU
rnacentral:sRNA from 1 species